rnacentral:rRNA from 1 species
CCCUUAGAUGUUCUGGGCCGCACGCGCGCUACACUGACGAAUGCAACGAGCUUAUAACCUUGGCCGAAAGGUCUGGGUAAUCUCCAAAUUUCGUCGUGAUGGGGAUAGAUUAUUGCAAUUAUUAAUCUUCAACGAGGAAUGCCUAGUAAGCGCAAGUCAUCAGCUUGCAUUGAUUACGUCCCUGCCCUUUGUACACACCGCCCGUCGCUCCUACCGAUUGAAUGGUCCGGUGAAGCGUUCGGACCGUGGCCUUUGGACGGUUCGCCGUCUGUUGGCUGCGGGAAGUUCGUUAAACCUUAUCAUUUAGAGGAAGGAGAAGUCGUANCA